rnacentral:rRNA from 1 species
UACGUAGGCAGCAAGCGUUGUUCGGAUUCACUGGGCGUAAAGGGUGCGUAGGUGGUGAGGUAAGUCGGAUGUGAAAUCUCCGAGCUCAACUCGGAAAUGGCAUUGGAAACUACCUUGCUUGAGGGUUGGAGGGGGGACUGGAAUACUUGGUGUAGCAGUGAAAUGCGUAGAUAUCAAGUGGAACACCAGUGGCGAAGGCGAGUCCCUGGACAACUCCUGACACUGAGGCACGAAAGCUAGGGGGAGCAAACAGG